GAGGGUUUAGUUAAAAAAUAACACUGGAUUGUCAAGCCAAAAUUAUCAAAAUGAUAUCCCUCU
rnacentral:tRNA from 1 species